UACAGAGGUCCCGAGCGUUGUUCGGAUUCAUUGGGCGUAAAGGGUGCGUAGGCGGCGGGGUAAGUCUGAUGUGAAAUCCUGGGGCUCAACCCCAGAACUGCAUUGGAUACUGCCUUGCUAGAGUACUGGAGAGGAAACUGGAAUUUACGGUGUAGCAGUGAAAUGCGUAGAGAUCGUAAGGAAGACCAGUGGCGAAGGCGAGUUUCUGGACAGUAACUGACGCUGAGGCGCGAAGGCUAGGGGAGCAAACGGG
rnacentral:rRNA from 1 species